rnacentral:lncRNA from 1 species
CGCCGCCUCACCUCCCUGUUUUGUAUCAAUCCACUGAACUUAGUUCAAUGCCAGAACAUCCAAAGUGUCUUACACAGACUGUUGGUGGGAGGUGAUUCUCUUAGGGCCCUAGGAAAUCCGAUGGGCAAGUUCAGGAUCCACUUCCAACCUGAUCUCUAGAUGCCCAUCCGCUCCAGGGGAUCCAGAGGAGACUCCGGUCCUUGGAACUUGGACUCGAGCACUGCCCCACCGGUGGUUUUCAUUGUGGAGCCUAAAAGCUGCUGCUGAGUUCCAAU